rnacentral:rRNA from 1 species
GAUGAACGCUGGCGGCGUGCCUAAUACAUGCAAGUCGAGCGAACAGACGAGGAGCUUGCUCCUCUGACGUUAGCGGCGGACGGGUGAGUAACACGUGGAUAACCUACCUAUAAGACUGGGAUAACUUCGGGAAACCGGAGCUAAUACCGUAUAAUAUAUUGAACCGCAUGGUUCAAUAGUGAAAGACGGUUUUGCUGUCACUUAUAGAUGGAUCCGCGCCGCAUUAGCUAGUUGGUAAGGUAACGGCUUACCAAGGCAACGAUGCGUAGCCGACCUGAGAGGGUGAUCGGCCACACUGGAACUGAGACACGGUCCAGACUCCUACGGGAGGCAGCAGUAGGGAAUCUUCCGCAAAGGGCGAAAGCUUGACGGAGCAACGCCGCGUGAGUGAUGAAGGUCUUCGGAUCGUAAAACUCUGUUAUUAGGGAAGAACAAAUGUGUAAGUAACUAUGCACGUCUUGACGGUACCUAAUCAGAAAGCCACGGCUAACUACGUG